UACGUAGGGGGCAAGCGUUGUCCGGAUUUAUUGGGCGUAAAGCGCUCGCAGGUGGUUCAUUGCGUCGUGCGUGAAAGACCCCGGCUCAACUGGGGAGGGUCGUGCGAAACGGGUGAACUAGAGGCCAGUAGGGGGGAUGCGGAAUUCCGGGUGUAGUGGUGGAAUGCGUAGAGAUCCGGAGGAACACCAGCGGCGAAGGCGGCCCGCUGGGCAGGAAGGGGUGGGUAACCAUCCCGGCUGACACUGAGGCGCGACAGCGUGGGGGAGCAAAC
rnacentral:rRNA from 1 species